rnacentral:piRNA from 1 species
AUUUUUAACCGAGUCUGCCUCA